ACGAAAGUCUUCCGGUUCCGGGGGAAGUAUGGUUGCAAAGCUGAAACUUAAAGGAAUUGACGGAAGGGCACCACCAGGAGUGGAGCCUGCGGCUUAAUUUGACUCAACACGGGGAAACUCACCCGGCCCGGACACCGUAAGGAUUGACAGAUUGAUAGCUCUUUCAUGAUUCGGUGGUUGGUGGUGCAUGGCCGUUCUUAGUUCGUGGAUCGAUUUGUCUGGUUUAUUCCGAUAACGAGCGAGACUCUAGCCUACUAAAUAGUAACGAGAUUAUCAAUGUCUCAGUUGCUUCUUAGAGGGAUUUUCGGUGUUUAGCCGCACGAGAUUGAGCAAUAACAGGUCUGUGAUGCCCUUAGAUGUCCGGGGCUGCACGCGCGCUACACUGGCGAAAUCAGCGUGCUGUAUCCAUUCUCGAAAGGGAUUGGUAAACCCAUGAAAAUUUGCCGUGCUUGGGAUCGGAAAUUGCAAUUAUUUUCCGUGAACGAGGAAUUCCAAGUAAGUGC
rnacentral:rRNA from 1 species